UGUAUAAGUUUAUGUUUUUAUGAUAAUUUGAACAUUUUAUGUUCAAUGUGUCUAAAUUUUGAAAUUUAUUUCAUUAUUAUUAGUUAUUGAUGUUUGGACAAUUAAAGUAUUUGGACAUGCAUUAUGUACAAGACAUUGUUUUUUUACCUGGACAUUUUAACCAUCGCGUCAUUAAUAUACAAUUUGUAAUUUUGACAUGGUGUGCAAUGAUAGCCAAUUCAUUCAAUUUUAAAUAAUAUGAGUUGUUGGUUGA